UACGUAGGGGGCAAGCGUUGUCCGGAAUCAUUGGGCGUAAAGAGCGUGUAGGCGGCCAGAAAAGUCCGCUGUGAAAACUCGAGGCUCAACUUCGAGCUGUCGGUGGAAACUUUCUGGCUAGAGUCCGGAAGAGGAGAAUGGAAUUCCUGGUGUAGCGGUGAAAUGCGCAGAUAUCAGGAAGAACACCCCGUGGCGAAGGCGGUUCUCUGGGACGGUACUGACGCUGAGACGCGAAAGCGUGGGAGCGAACAGG
rnacentral:rRNA from 1 species